rnacentral:rRNA from 1 species
GACGAACGCUGGCGGCGUGCUUAACACAUGCAAGUCGAACGGAAAGGCCCUGCUUUUGUGGGGUGCUCGAGUGGCGAACGGGUGAGUAACACGUGAGUAACCUGCCCUUGACUUUGGGAUAACUUCAGGAAACUGGGGCUAAUACCGGAUAGGAGCUCCUGCUGCAUGGUGGGGGUUGGAAAGUUUCGGCGGUUGGGGAUGGACUCGCGGCUUAUCAGCUUGUUGGUGGGGUAGUGGCUUACCAAGGCUUUGACGGGUAGCCGGCCUGAGAGGGUGACCGGCCACAUUGGGACUGAGAUACGGACCAGAGUCCUACGGGAGGCAGCAGUGGCGAAUAUUGCACAAUGGGCGGAAGCCUGAUGAAGCAACGCCGCGUGCGGGAUGACGGCCUUCGGGUUGUAAACCGCUUUCGCCUGUGACGAAGCGUGAGUGACGGUAAUGGGUAAAGAAGCACCGGCUAACUACGUG